UUGCUCCCCCCGAUCAGUGGCGAACGGGUGAGUAACACGUGAGUAACCUGCCCCAGACUCUGGGAUAACAUCGGGAAACCGGUGCUAAUACCGGAUAUGAGACGAGAUUGCAUGAUCAUCGUCUGGAAAGAUUUAUCGGUCUGGGAUGGACUCGCGGCCUAUCAGCUAGUUGGUGAGGUAAUGGCUCACCAAGGCGACGACGGGUAGCCGGCCUGAGAGGGCGACCGGCCACACUGGAACUGAGACACGGUCCAGACUCCUACGGGAGGCAGCAGUGGGGAAUAUUGCACAAUGGGCGCAAGCCUGAUGCAGCAACGCCGCGUGGGGGAUGAAGGCCUUCGGGUUGUAAACCCCUUUUAGCAGGGAAGAAGCGAAAGUGACGGUACCUGCAGAAAAAGCGCCGGCUAACUACGUGCCAGCAGCCGCGGUAAUACGUAGGGCGCAAGCGUUGUCCGGAAUUAUUGGGCGUAAAGAGCUCGUAGGCGGUUUGUCGCGUCUGCUGUGAAAGUCCGAGGCUCAACCUCGGAUCUGCAGUGGGUACGGGCAGACUAGAGUGUGGUAGGGGAGACUGGAAUUCCUGGUGUAGCGGUGGAAUGCGCAGAUAUCAGGAGGAACACCAAUGGCGAAGGCAGGUCUCUGGGCCAUAACUGA
rnacentral:rRNA from 1 species